ACUGGGACUGAGACACGGCCCAGACUCCUACGGGAGGCAGCAGUAGGGAAUUUUCGGCAAUGGGGGAAACCCUGACCGAGCAACGCCGCGUGAAGGAAGAAGUAAUUCGUUAUGUAAACUUCUGUCAUAGAGGAAGAACGGUGGAUAUAGGGAAUGAUAUCCAAGUGACGGUACUCUAUAAGAAAGCCACGGCUAACUACGUGCCAGCAGCCGCGGUAAUACGUAGGUGGCGAGCGUUAUCCGGAAUUAUUGGGCGUAAAGAGGGAGCAGGCGGCACUAAGGGUCUGUGGUGAAAGAUCGAAGCUUAACUUCGGUAAGCCAUGGAAACCGUAGAGCUAGAGUGUGUGAGAGGAUCGUGGAAUUCCAUGUGUAGCGGUGAAAUGCGUAGAUAUAUGGAGGAACACCAGUGGCGAAGGCGACGAUCUGGCGCAUAACUGACGCUCAGUCCCGAAAGCGUGGGGAGCAAAUAGGAUUAGAUACCCUAGUAGUCCACGCCGUAAACGAUGAGUACUAAGUGUUGGGGGUCAAAGCUCAGUGCUGCAGUUAACGCAAUAAGUACUCCGCCUGAGUAGUACGUUCGCAAGAAUGAAACUCAAAGGAAUUGACGGGGGCCCGCACAAGCGGUGGAGCAUGUGGUUUAAUUCGAUGAUACGCGAGGAACCUUACCGGGGUUUAAAUGGGAUCUGAAUAAUCUGGAAACAGGUUAGCCGCAAGGCAGAUUUCAAGGUGCUGCAUGGUUGUCGUCAGCUCGUGCCGUGAGGUGUUAGGUUAAGUCCUGCAACGAGCGCAACCCCCAUGAUCCGUUACUAACAGGUGAUGCUGAGGACUCAGAUCAGACUGCCGGCGUAAGCCGCGAGGAAGGAGGGGAUGACGUCAAAUCAUCACGGCCCUUACAUCCCGGGCCACACACGUGCUACAAUGGCCGGUACAGAGAGCAGCCACUUCGCGAGGAGGAGCGAAUCUUAAAAGCCGGUCUCAGUUCGGAUCGCAGUCUGCAACUCGACUGCGUGAAGCUGGAAUCGCUAGUAAUCGCGCAUCAGCCAUGGCGCGGUGAAUACGUUCCCGGGCCUUGUACACACCGCCCGUCAAGCCAUGGAAGUCUGGGGGACCUGAAGACGGUAACCGCGAGGAGCCGUUAAGGGUAAAACAGGUAACUAGGGCUAAGUCGUAACAAGGUAGCCGUAUCGGAAGGUGCGGCUG
rnacentral:rRNA from 1 species